CACAACCCCACCAUAAGUCGAGAAGCAUCUGUAUAGCAUAGUAAUUCAGAGCAAAUUUGAAAUUAGAUAUUUCUAGCACCAAUUACCCCCGUGAUUUUAUGCAUGGCAUUCCUCAAAACAUUUCAUAAAUGUUUUAAGGAAUAUCUGUGAAAUAUGGAUAAUUAUACCUGGCUAAUAAGACUAAGAAGUAAAGGUGACAGUGUACAUAAAGCAUUUGCACAAUGCAUGGCACAUAGUGAACACUCAAUAGUAGGUAUUAAUGUACUUGGGAAUCUAAGUUCAAUAUGUAGAAAAUACUUUUUGUGAAUAAAAUUUUAACUUUUAUUUUUAUGUAAACACAUAUUGAUGGGAAAAAAAAUUCAAAGAGCACAGAUGAGAACAAAUUAAACCCUUCCCCUAACCCCACACAUACCCGUAAACCUAUUACCCUGCCCCUCAGACCCACUCACAGAGAUAACCAAGUUUGCUUAAUUUUUAAUCAGAUCUUUCUUUUCUGGAUAAACAGAUAUACAAUAUAACUAACUCAAAAUCUCUUUAUAUUUUAGAAGAUAAAAGUCAAGGAAAUAUCAACAAUCCUACUCCAGGUCCAGUUCCUGUUCCAGGUCCCAAAAGCCAUCCUUCUGCAUCCUUGGGCAAACUGCUGCUUCCACAGUUUGGGAUGGUCAUCAUUUUAAUCAGUGUUUCUGCUAUAAAUCUCUUUGUUGCUCUGUAGUUUGAUGCAUUGUUUAUCUUUCUUAUUCUUUACUUGAAAUAACUAUAGGGAUCCACAGGAG
rnacentral:sRNA from 1 species